AGAGUUUGAUCCUGGCUCAGGAUGAACGCUGGCGGCGUGCCUAAUACAUGUAAGUCGAACGGACCGCAGUAAUGUGGUCAGUGGCGAACGGGUGAGUAACGCGUGGGUGACCUGCCCCGAAGCGGGGGAUAACAGCUCGAAAGGGCUGCUAAUACCCCAUAGGGACAUUUGCGUUAGAGACGGAUGUCUAAAGGCGAGCUCGCAAGAGUGCGCCACUUUGGGAGGGACCUGCGACCCAUCAGCUGGUUGGUAGGGUAACGGCCUACCAAGGCGACGACGGGUAGGGGGCCUGAGAGGGUGACCCCCCACACUGGCACUGAAACACGGGCCAGACACCUACGGGUGGCAGCAGUAGGGAAUAUUGCACAAUGGGCGCAAGCCUGAUGCAGCAACGCCGCGUGCGCGAUGAAGGCCUUCGGGUCGUAAAGCGCUUUUCUGGAGGAUGAGCAAGGACAGUACUCCAGGAAGAAGUCUCGGCUAACUACGUGCCAGCAGCCGCGGUAAAACGUAGGAGACAAGCGUUAUCCGAAUUUACUGGGCGUAAAGCGCGUGCAGGUGGUUCGGUAAGUUGCAUGUGAAAUCUCCUGGCUCAACUGGGAGAGGCCGUGCAAGACUGCCGGGCUAGAGGGCGGUAGAGGGAGGUGGAAUUCCCGGUGUAGUGGUGAAAUGCGUAGAUAUCGGGAGGAACACCUGUGGCGAAAGCGGCCUCCUGGACCGUACCUGACGCUCAGACGCGAAAGCUAGGGGAGUGAACGGGAUUAGAAACCCCGGUAAUCCUAGCCGUAAACGAUGUGGACUAGGUGUCGGUGGGGUAAAAGCCAUCGGUGCCGAAGCCAACGCGAUAAGUCCACCGCCUGGGGACUACGGCCGCAAGGUUAAAACUUAAAUGAAUUGACGG
rnacentral:rRNA from 1 species